CCUACGGGAGGCAGCAGUGAGGACUAUUGGUCAAUGGCCGGAAGGCUGAACCAGCCAAGCCGCGUGAAGGACGAAGGUGCCAAGCAUUGUAAACUUCUUUUGUCAAGGGACAAAAUCAGGCUCGAGAGCCUGACCGCGGGUACUUGAAGAAAAAGCAUCGGCUAACUCCGUGCCAGCAGCCGCGGUAAUACGGAGGAUGCGAGCGUUAUCCGGAUUUAUUGGGGUUAAAGGGUGCGUAGGCGGACUGUUCAGUCAGCGGUACAACCCCGGGGCUCAACCCCGGCGAGCCGUUGAAACUGGCUGUCUUGAGAUGUCGAGAGGUAUGCGGAAUGCGCAGGGUAGCGGUGAAAUGCUUAGAUAUUGCGCAGAACUCCGAUUGCGAAGGCAGCAUACCGGCGGCGAGCUGACGCUGAGGCACGAAAGCGUGGGUAUCGAACAGGAUUAGAUACCCGGGUAGUC
rnacentral:rRNA from 1 species